CCUACGGGCGGCAGCAGUGGGGAAUAUUGGACAAUGGGGGGAACCCUGAUCCAGCCAUGCCGCGUGUGUGAAGAAGGCCCUCGGGUUGUAAAGCACUUUCAGUGAGGAAGAACGGCUGGUGGUUAAUACCCAUCAGGAAAGACAUCACUCACAGAAGAAGCACCGGCUAACUCCGUGCCAGCAGCCGCGGUAAUACGGAGGGUGCGAGCGUUAAUCGGAAUUACUGGGCGUAAAGCGCGCGUGGGUGGCUUGAUAAGCCGGUUGUGAAAGCCCCGGGCUCAACCUGGGAACGGCAUCCGGAACUGUCAAGCUAGAGUGCAGGAGAGGAAGGUAGAAUUCCCGGUGUAGCGGUGAAAUGCGUAGAGAUCGGGAGGAAUACCAGUGGCGAAGGCGGCCUUCUGGACUGACACUGACACUGAGGUGCGAAAGCGUGGGUAGCAAACAGGAUUAGAUACCCUGGUAGUC
rnacentral:rRNA from 1 species